rnacentral:rRNA from 1 species
CCGGACGCAGCCUACACAUGCAGUCGAACGGUAACAGGAAGCAGCUUGCUGCUUCGCUGACGAGUGGCGGACGGGUGAGUAAUGUCUGGGAAACUGCCUGAUGGAGGGGGAUAACUACUGGAAACGGUAGCUAAUACCGCAUAACGUCGCAAGACCAAAGAGGGGGACCUUCGGGCCUCUUGCCAUCGGAUGUGCCCAGAUGGGAUUAGCUAGUAGGUGGGGUAACGGCUCACCUAGGCGACGAUCCCUAGCUGGUCUGAGAGGAUGACCAGCCACACUGGAACUGAGACACGGUCCAGACUCCUACGGGAGGCAGCAGUGGGGAAUAUUGCACAAUGGGCGCAAGCCUGAUGCAGCCAUGCCGCGUGUAUGAAGAAGGCCUUCGGGUUGUAAAGUACUUUCAGCGGGGAGGAAGGCGAUAAGGUUAAUAACCUUGUCGAUUGACGUUACCCGCAGAAGAAGCACCGGCUAACUCCGUGCCAGCAGCCGCGGUAAUACGGAGGGUGCAAGCGUUAAUCGGAAUUMCUGGGCGUAAAGCGCACGCAGGCGGCUCUGUCAAGUCGGAUGUGAAAUCCCCGGGCUCAACCUGGGAACUGCAUUCGAAACUGGCAGGCUAGAGUCUUGUAGAGGGGGGUAGAAUUCCASGUGUAGCGGUGAAAUGCGUAGAGAUCUGGAGGAAUACCGGUGGCGAAGGCGGCCCCCUGGACAAAGACUGACGCUCAGGUGCGAAAGCGUGGSGAGCAAACAGGAUUAGMUACCCUGGUAGUCCACGCCGUAAACGAUGUCGACUUGGAGGUUGUGCCCUUGAGGCGUGGCUUCCGGAGCUAACGCGUUAAGUCGACCGCCUGGGGAGUACGGCCGCAAGGUUAAAACUCAAAUGAAUUGACGGGGGCSCGCACAAGCGGUGGAGCAUGUGGUUUAAUUCGAUGCAACGCGAAGAACCUUACCUACUCUUGACAUCCAGAGAACUUAGCAGAGAUGGUUUGGUGCCUUCGGGAACUCUGAGACAGGUGCUGCAUGGCUGUCGUCAGCUCGUGUUGUGAAAUGUUGGGUUAAGUCCCGCAACGAGCGCAACCCUUAUCCUUUGUUGCCAGCGGUCCGGCCGGGAACUCAAAGGAGACUGCCAGUGAUAAACUGGAGGAAGGUGGGGAUGACGUCAAGUCAUCAUGGCCCUUACGAGUAGGGCUACACACGUGCUACAAUGGCGCAUACAAAGAGAAGCGACCUCGCGAGAGCAAGCGGACCUCAUAAAGUGCGUCGUAGUCCGGAUUGGAGUCUGCAACUCGACUCCAUGAAGUCGGAAUCGCUAGUAAUCGUGGAUCAGAAUGCCACGGUGAAUACGUUCCCGGGCCUUGUACACACCGCCCGUCACACCAUGGGAGUGGGUUGCAAAAGAAGUAGGUAGCUUAACCUUCGGGAGGGCGCUUACCAGCUUG